AUGGAGAAGAUGCAGGAGGAGCGGCGGCCGAAGCUCUCCGGCGCCGCGGAUGCCGGAGGCGGCGAGGACCGCCUCGGCGCGCUGCACGACGACAUCCUCAUCCGCAUCCUCCUCAAGUCCGACGACGCAGCCACAGCCGCUCGGACCAGCGUCCUCGCCCGCCGCUGGCGUCACCUCUGGGCCCUUCUCCCGGCGCUCUACUUCUUCCGCCCGACCGACCCGCGCCGCAUACGCUCUGCCCUCGCGGCCCACGAAGCUCCGGUGCUCCAAGCGCUCGCCGUCAUCGCACAGGGCGACUCUCCCGGAUCCGCGGGGGCGUGGCUUCCCAUUGCCGCGCGCCGCCUCUCCGGCACAUUGGUUUUCCGCGUGCUGCGGCGGAGCAUAGCCAUAGCUAAGAAAAGAGCCGCCUUGAAGCUGCCGUGCUUCGAGAACGCCACCAAAAUCGUGCUGCGACUAGGGUUUCUCCGCCUCGCGCUGCCGCCUUGCGGUGUAUUCACCCGGAUCCAUCUUCUCAUGCUGAUGGAAGUCCGGCUGCGUGGUCCGUGUGGGCUCGGCGAGGCUGUCUCCUCGCCGCGGUGCCCAUCCUUGCGGAGACUCGUCGUGAAGGAUGCCCAUGGCCUGGGCGACCUCACAAUCCACUCAGAAUGCCUUCAAAAAUUGGAGCUAUUUCGUCUGCCUGACUUGCAGAGUCUCACUGUCGUGGCGCCAGCACUCCAACUGUUAAAACUGGAUCAUUGCUUUGUUCUGUGUUCGAGGCAACCAGUUGCCAACAUCUCAGCCCCUCAUCUGAUGUGGCUCGCGUGGAUGGAUAAUUAUGAUCAAAACUCUGUCCAGCUUGGUGAGAUGGCAUACCUGCAAUCGCUUGUUACCCAACAUUUUAUCAUGUAUGGAGAGGAUUACCAUUCUUCACACAAUCGCAAUGGUGUGUGUCUUUUGCGGCACUUUGAGCACCUCCACCGUCUUGUUCUCACACUUCAAUGUCCUAAGGACAUAGCAAACAAGAAAUACUUCAUGGAGCAAAUAACAAGGCUUCCUGACAUUAAAUUAUUGGAACUGGGAAUAACAGCAUGUGGACAUUCCUUUGGAGCCAGCUUAUUCCAUGUUAUGAGGAUGUGUACUGCAAUAAGAGCGCUAGUUCUUGGACUUAAUGUCACACUUGAAGAUGAGGAAGAAACUGUGUGCCCGUCAGAUUGCAUUUGUGAUCAGCCACCAAGCUGGAAAACCAAGGAACUCGUGCUGAAUCGCCUUGAAGUAAUAGAAAUCUAUGGCUUCAGAGGAACUGAACAUGAAAUCAAUGCCGUGAAACAGAUAUGCAGUUGGGCAACCGUGCUAAGAAGGAUGACAGUGAAGUUCCAUGACUCGAUCACUGAAAACAAGGCUGAAGUGCUCUGCGAGUUGUUAGUAACCUUCUCUAGGCUAGGAUUAGACAUGGUUUUUAUUUAUAGGAUGCAGUGA
rnacentral:rRNA from 1 species